UCGCCAGGGCAACGGACGCCAGGUCCCGACUCCUGCUUCCCGGAGCGGCUCGCCGGAGGCGCCCCGCCCUUAGGCAUGGCCGAGGACGCGCCCAGAACGCAGCAGUGCUGGAAGCUGGUCAGGAACCUCGAGGCCGCUAUUCAGCAGUUCCAGUGCCACCCCAGGUGACCCGCUUGCGCAGCCCUGCCAGGCAGCUCGAGGCCUGGGCGCUACAGCUUCGCGACUUAAGCGGCCGACUCCGGAGCUCAAUCGCCAGGGUCCAAAUCCUGCCCAUCCUCUCCCAGGGACUGAGUUGGGCAAGAAAUACCAUUUCAGAUGAUCUGAAAGUUGGCUUUUUCACCACAGACCAUGCUACUCAAACACAUGCCAGUGAAAUUUUGCCUCUGAAAGAGCUGAGUGCAUCUACACAACAGUUAGUGCAGUUUUUAGGUUGUUACAUCCCUUCAGGUGGAUUUUAGGUUCCUUAAAGAAUUGGUUCAAUUGAAGUUUGAGGAACGACUUACAGAGGAGUCUUCUGAUAUCUCCAUCGCUCUAUAUGACAGGAUCCUAGAGAUGGAAAAACACAGCCCACAGAAUGAGGAGAACAUGAGAAAAUGCUUUCAGCAGCAGUUAGCUGAUGCCAUUGCUGUCAUCAAAGGGAUGUACCAGCAAUUCUUUGAUGUAGAGGAAGAGGAAACUACUUUGCACGAUGCAGAAAAUGUCGAAUUGGGUUUUUUGUCAAGAAAGCUGAGAGAGAAGGAAGAAAUUAUUAAAGAAUUAAGAGAAGAACUAGAUCAUUGUGAAGGAUUUCAAAAACUUGUAGGAUAGCUUGAAAGACACAAACCCAGUCUUCCCAAGAAGCCCACUCGGGACAGAAUGACCUUUACCUAAAAAUGUCAAGAAAGAAAAUCGCCCUACUUCCAAUUUUCCCUAGUGCAGUAGAAUCUGGAAGCUGCUUUAAUGCUUAAACAAAAGACAGAUGGAAAGAAAAGUGAAGAGUAAGAGCAGAAAGGAGAGCCUAGACGUUUGUCCUGGAGGGGAAUUUUUAAGGGCCGUUGACCACAUAAUAACUCACCCCAAGCAACACUUGGGCAGGUGUCAUUGCAACCAGGCCAUUCUUAUAUUGAAUAAAUUUGAUAUAAUGGUUGUUUUUCUAUUUCCUGUUAUAUUAUCUUAUAAAAGUUAAUGAAGAUGCAAUUUUUGGUCAUCCUACAUUGAAGUAAUUAGAUUGGUAAGUUUUAAAGUGUGGGUAUUGAAAGCACAUUCAGCUUCAUCAAAUGUUAGCUCUGAGGUACUAGUUGCUUCAGGCCCCAGCCACAGUGCAUCACCAAAGCUUGUUUAAUCCUGAGGUUCUAAGAGCAAAAAGCUGAUUGGAGGGCUGGGGAUUUGGCUCCAUGGUUCUGCUGCCUACCUUGCAAGCACAAGGUCCUGAGUU
rnacentral:lncRNA from 1 species